GCAAAACAACAUUGGGAGAUGCAUGUCUUUAACCACUUAUUUUAUUAGGAAAAUAAUCAAUAUAUCAGACCCCGAAUUUUUUCUCUUUUUCCCCCUUUACGUCAUCCAAAUAAACAGAAUGACAAGCAUCAUUACAAUCCAAAAAAUUUAAUUGGUUAUUUAUUUCAAAAAGAAAGAAAAAGAAAAGAAAAAGGAACAGCUGAAUCAAUUAAUGACCAGCAACAAAGAUCUCUGGCCCAAACUCUUCAUUCUCAUAGAAACUUCUGUUGAGUGAAUCAAUCCCAGCAUUAUCUAUCAACAACAACAACAACUACCCAGUAUAGUCCCACAAAAUGGGGUGUGAGAAGGGUAAUAUGUAGAUGGGUCUUACCCCUACCCCAAAGGGCAGAGAGGCUGUUUCCAAUCGACCCUCGGCUCAGUGAAGGAAAGGAAUAACAAAAACAAAAACAACAAAAGAGCAUUAGUAACUUCAACAUAAAUAACGUAAAUAAUUAUCUAAACAUAAAAACCUAAAAAUAAAAAACAUAAAAACUAUAAAUAAAAUAAAAUAGCAUGCAAUAGUAUAGGACAGUAACUAGCAUAAGACAAAAUCCAAUACACAAAUCAUCUAUGAAUAGUCAUGCCAAGCCUCACCCAACCCCGCGUGUGGAGUAUGAAAAACUCUAGGGGCUCCUAUCCCUCAACUUGGAUACUAGACCUCCAUACUUUCCCAUCCAUGGUCAUGUCCUCAGAAACCCGCAUUCUAACCCGCAUUCUAGCCAGCAUCAUCAUUUUCAUGAUUUACUUCUCCUGCAUUUUUUGUCCAUGACACCACUUUUGGUGUUGGAUUUUGGCUUGUUACUGCAUUUUUUUUUGGUCCUGAGCAUUAACAAGAAGAGAACAAACCAAGAUUGUUAGGACAGAAAAGGCAAGAAUUUUUCUGUCCAUAUUUGUCAAACUUUGUAUUAUUUGGAGUUUGGAGUUUCU
rnacentral:lncRNA from 1 species